rnacentral:rRNA from 1 species
GACGAACGCUGGCGGCGUGCUUAACACAUGCAAGUCGAACGGAAAGGCCCUGCUUUUGUGGGGUGCUCGAGUGGCGAACGAGUGAGUAACACGUGAGUAACCUGCCCUUGACUUUGGGAUAACUUCAGGAAACUGGGGCUAAUACCGGAUAGGAGCUCCUGCUGCAUGGUGGGGGUUGGAAAGUUUCGGCGGUUGGGGAUGGACUCGCGGCUUAUCAGCUUGUUGGUGGGGUAGUGGCUUACCAAGGCUUUGACGGGUAGCCGGCCUGAGAGGGUGACCGGCCACAUUGGGACUGAGAUACGGACCAGACUCCUACGGGAGGCAGCAGUGGGGAAUAUUGCACAAUGGGCGGAAGCCUGAUGCAGCAACGCCGCGUGCGGGAUGACGGCCUUCGGGUUGUAAACCGCUUUCGCCUGUGACGAAGCGUGAGUGACGGUAAUGGGUAAAGAAGCACCGGCUAACUACGUG